rnacentral:lncRNA from 1 species
AUAGGUUCUGAGCUUUUCUUUCAGCUAGGUUACAGACUGGGUCCUCUACAAGUCGGCUAGUUCGCUGGGCCAGAAGAAAGGAACUGCGGACACCAUUCAGGAUCUGAGAAGCAGAUCCCAAUGCAGUGAGCAUUGACAAAUAAGCUGGAGAAGAGUGGGCCUUGUGGAAGAUGUGUAACGUAAAUUAAGCCUUGACAGGGGAAACCAGCCCAAAAGGAAGCUGUGGAAAUGCAGCUCUGGCUAUGCAAACCAGAGGAAGACUGCAAAGACAUGCAUGGCCUAGGAUCAUCCUGAAACCUCAUGAAGACUUAUUUUGGGGGCACAGGAGGCAGAUGUUCAUGAUACAUUGUUACAUGAAAGAAGUUGUGUAUACUAUAAGCACAUUUGGAUAAAAAUGUAUGUACUUAGCAAAGUGAAAAGACAAAUGAUGUCUAUCAAAGAGUAACAAUGGUUAUUUCUACAUAGUGCAUGAUUAUUGAUUUCACUUAAGUAUAACCCCCUUGUUUUUUUUUUUUUAUGUGUUCAUUUUCUACACUAAAGAUUAAUUUUGAAAAGGCGCUUAGGAGAUGAGGGAAUUACUGGCCCCAGAACCACCUGUACAUACUUCCCAAAGCAUUAUUCUGGCAAAGCCGAUGUUUCUGGUUCAGCCUCACGAAGGAUUUCAAAUAUGGUUUGAAGUUGACAGUUUAUUUAUUUAUACCAUUAACACAGUUGAUUGACUGCAGUGCUUCCCAACAAUGAAAAACUUGGUGGAUUAACCAUUAAAAUCUAGCCAAUCUUAUGAAAAAAGUCAAUUACACAUCUCUGCCAAUAUUUGGCACUGACGUUAGGUUUUGCAAUUUUUCUGAAUGUAGUCACCCUUAUUUAUUUACUUAUUUUUGCAAACAUUGCUCGUCCAUUUGUUGAUUGAUCAAGCAACUGGUUUGGCUGUUUGAGACAGGCAGCUUCUGCUGGCUUCAGAGUCUCUGUGUAGCCAAGAAUGACUUUGUACAGGAGCCUGGCCUGGAGGCCUCCACCUGCCACGUGUUGGGAUUACAGGGUGUGCUACCACAUCUGGCUGACUUGUCUUUUUAAAUAAAGAAAGUUUGUACCUCUGUAA